UACAUGGUUUGUUAGCUGAUUAAUUAUUUUAUCAAGUUAGACAUUAUUUGAUAUGUGGUUUGUUGGCUGAUAAAUUAGUUGAUACAUAUUUUGUGGGUUAAUACAUUAUUUGAUAAAAUGUUUGUUAUCUGAUAAAUGACUUGAUACCUGGUACAUGUUUUGUCAGUUGAUAUAUGGUUUAAUACUAAAUAAUUGAUAAAUAGUUGGUAUAAUGGUACAAAAGAUUCAUCGUUAACUGCUACAUGAUUUGUGUAGCUGAUAAAUGGUUUGGUAAAUAGUUUGUCAGCGUGUAGAUUGUGUAAUACUUGGUUUUUUAACUGACAAAUGGGUUGAUAAAUGAUUUGUGAGUUAAUAAGUUGUUUGAUAAAUCGUUUGUGAUCUGAUACAUAAUCUUUUACAAGGUACAUGUUUUGUUACCUGAUGAAUAAUUUGAUAUGAAAGAUUGAUAAGUAGUUGGUAUGAUGUUACAUAAGACUUGUCGCUAAUUGAUAUUUGAUUUGGUGUAGUUGCUAAAUGUUUUGAAAAAUGAUUUGUCAGCUUGUACAUUGUUUGAUUUGUUAGCUCACAAAAGGAUUGAUAUAUGGUGUGAGUCAAAAUGUUGUUUGUUAAAUAAUUUGUUAUUUGAUAUAUGAUUUGUUACGCGGUAUAUGUUUUGUUUGGUGAUGCAUAGUUUGACAUCGAAGAAUGAGUAAAAGAAAAGAUUUAAAAAUUUGAAAAAUUGUGGAAAUGAGGAGAUAAAAAAAUUGCAUGAAAUAAAGUGUAAGAGGAAAAAGAAUCACUACAAAAAAAAAACCAUCAUUGAUAGCAGAUUGUUAUAGCACGUUUUACUAAACUGCUAUUGUAUAUGAGUUAAAAAUUUCAGAAUUUUAUAAUAGCUUUAGAAAAACGCUAUGAUAUAGUGAAACCUAAAAUAACACUUAAUUAAUGCUAUUUUAAAAAUUAAGUGAGCGGAAGGAUAAAACCAUUGAUUCCGCCAAUAGUUACUGGGAAAAUUGACUUAAGCACCAAAGACAUUAUUUAAGCGGCUUUAGUAAUGCGAUCGAAGACAUAUAAUAGCAUUUUUCGAACACUAAGAAAAACUAAUUGGACCCUAAACCUAAACAUGAUUUUAAACCCUAAACUCUAAAGAGAACCCUUAAAACUCUAAUAUUUUCAUAGUGUAACUUCAAAUCCUAAAAAUUAAACUCAAAAUUUAAGCUUCUUAAUCUUAAACUAUCAUUUUAUAAAUACAAAUUUUAAAUCUUUAAUCAAACCCGCAUACCUGGAAUGAAGUGGAUAAGUUGAAACCCUAAACCCUACACCUAUUUUAAACUCUAAACUCUAAACAUAAAUUUUAAACUCUAAUGUUUUCAUACUAUAAUCUCAAAUCUUAAAUUUAAACUCAAAAUUUAUUAUUCUCAAUCUUAGACUAUAACUUCAAAAAAAAAAAAACAAUUAAAUCUUCAAUCAAACUCUAUACUCUAAACUCUAAUUUCAAACAUAAACUAUACAUCCACUAAAAAUAAACUUCAAAUCUAAAUUUUUAAAAUUAAAACACAAAUCUUAAACAUAAUAUUUCAAUCUAAUACUUUUCAUACUAUAAUCCAAAAUCUUAAUUCUAAACCCUAUAUAUCAUACUCCAAACUUGUAUCUUAAACACUAAUUUUUAAGUGAAUCUAACUAAAUUCAUAAUAGCUUUUAAUUAUAUAAAUUAAAUCAUACCUACAAAAUAUAUAAGCACUAAUUAAGAUUCAAAAACUUGAAACAUAAUCAUUUAAAUCAUUAACUUUUUUUGGAACAUUUAAAUCAUUAAAUUAAUUCAUAUGAUUUAAACUGCAAAUUAAAAAACUUGUGUCGUUAAGCCUUCUGCGACAAAAAAAGAAGAAGGGAAAUCUAACUUCUUUUUAUCCUUGUUUUCUAUUGGUCGAGAUAACGAUGGUGUGGAUCACUAAUUUUAACCAUUGAUUAUAUUUUAAUCAGUGGACCAGAUUGAUUUUUGGUCUAUUUGUUUCUCUUAAUCUUACGCGACUUUUGCUUUCUUCUUCAAUUGUUCAUUUCUCACACACACAACACAGAUUCAUCAAUCAAGCUGGCCGCCUUCUGAUUGUGCGACGGAGACCAAGCGAAGUGGUGGAACAGAGAGAGGAGAUAGAUCUCGAAGAUUCAGUGAAAGGAGAAGACGUGACGGUCGGUCUCGAAUGCUCCCUCAUGGUCACCGAUCUCUAGAUCGUCCCCGUUCUCACCAGCACCAGCACCGACGCACUCGUCACCACCACUACUCCCAUCGAUUCCGUCGCACUCUUCACCACUACCACAGUCAUUUCUCUCUCUCUGUCUCUAUUAACCUCCAUUCUUCGUUGAUGGGACAAUGGCUGAAGACCUUCACGGUGGUGGAAGAAGACCUUGACGGGAUAGUGGUUGAAGACCUUGACGGUGGAAGAAGAAGAGGAAGCUAUGGCGGCUGGAGUCUUAUUUUUUUUUAGGUUUAGGUUUUUCUUUAAGAUUUGGUUUAGUGUAAACCAAGUUGGGGAAAUUGUGUUGGUUUGACUUUAGUGUUUAAUUUUGGUUUUGUUUUGUAAACCGAAAUUUAUUUUUAAACCCAUUUUAAUUUAUAAAUAAAAUUUAUUUUAUUUUAAAA